UUACGGUCAUAUAACGUUGAAAAAUUCCGUUCUCGUAAGAUCACCAAAGAUAAGCAACUUCGAGACUGGCCAGUACCUAAAUGGGUGACCGACUGGAAAUACCAGCUGCUGUAAG